GCGGGCGUGGCGGAAUGGUAGACGCCGGGGACUUAAAAUCCCCUGGGCUUUGCCCGUGUGGGUUCGAGUCCCACCGCCCGCACCA
rnacentral:tRNA from 3 species